UCUUGCAGUUGGUUUUUUGAAGCCGCACCUUCCUUUUACAUGCCCUGAAAAGUACUGGGAUCUGUACGAUCGAGAUAAGAUCAAUCCGGCGGACAAUCCGUAUCUGCCGAAGAAUGUUACGAAGUAUUCAGGGACGAGUUGGGGGGAGCUUAGGAGCUAUUCGGAUAUUCCGAGGGAAGGGCCUGUCAGCGAUGAGAAGGCAAGGGAAUUGAUACAUGGUUAUUACGCGUGCGUGAGCAGCACCGAUGCCCAGAUUGGGCGGGUGGUCGAUGAGCUGGAUCGGCUCGGAUUGAGAGAGAAUACGAUUAUAGUGCUCUGGGGCGACCACGGGUGGAAGCUGGGCGAGCAUGG
rnacentral:rRNA from 1 species